GAUGAACGCUGGCGGCGUGCCUAAUACAUGCAAGUCGAGCGAACAGACGAGGAGCUUGCUCCUCUGACGUUAGCGGCGGACGGGUGAGUAACACGUGGAUAACCUACCUAUAAGACUGGGAUAACUUCGGGAAACCGGAGCUAAUACCGGAUAAUAUAUUGAACCGCAUGGUUCAAUAGUGAAAGACGGUUUUGCUGUCACUUAUAGCUGGAUCCGCGCCGCAUUAGCUAGUUGGUAAGGUAACGGCGUACCAAGGCGACGAUGCGUAGCCGACCUGAGAGGGUGAUCGGCCACACUGGAACUGAGACACGGUCCAGACUCCUACGGGAGGCAGCAGUAGGGAAUCUUCCGCAAUGGGCGAAAGCCUGACGGAGCAACGCCGCGUGAGUGAUGAAGGUCUUCGGAUCGUAAAACUCUGUUAUUAGGGAAGAACAAAUGUGUAAGUAACUAUGCACGUCUUGACGGUACCUAAUCAGAAAGCCACGGCUAACUACGUG
rnacentral:rRNA from 1 species